rnacentral:misc_RNA from 1 species
ACACCUCAACUCCUCAUGGCUUGCCAUGAUGAGCUUGGACUUGGGGGUCUUGCUGGCCUGCAGUCAGCUCCUCUCAAAUAAAUCAGCUUGCCAGUGUUUGGUGGCACCACAGGUGUGAUAAACAUCUAUGCUUGUGGUUGUCUGCCAUGGAACCUUCAGCAAUGGAGGUUUGCUGGAGCUCACAAAUGUCUCUCCUGAGCGAGGACAGCUUUUUAAU